AAAAAGGGCAUCUGCUGUGAUUGGCAUAGCUGUGGAUGGUUCCUGACACAGCUACGGAAUCACUAUCAAGAGAUUUCGGAUGCACAAUUUUUAUAACCCGAGGCUGCCAAUGAUCGCUAAUCUUGGUGCCUCA